CCCUGUCAGGUACAUAGAUAAAUUUAAUUUGAUUUAUGUAAUGCUUGAUCUCACUACUCAUUAGUGUCCUUAGUGUUUCAUUAGGUUCAAGCAUUAUAGUGUUCUUACAAUCUGCAUAGUUGCAUGUUUCUGCAUGGAAAUGAAUCUUUAGUUGAUCAACUAGAGCCUGGAUCAAAAUUUGCCAACUUGUUCUUUUCCCUGUCAGUUUGUGGAUUUGCAUCGUAUUGACAUAUUACCAAGUAUUAGGGCAAUCAAUUUCAAAUUUCUCUAUCUCUGAGGCGUGUAGAUUUCGUAAAACUCUGUAGACAUGCAGAAGAGAAAUGCCAUCCCCACUCCGACCAAGAUAGAACUUUUACCAAAAGUUUAUUGUGAUCUUUUUGUUCAAAUAGCAAUUAAGGUGAAGCAGGGUCAGGAACAACGAAUCUCUUUAUGUUCACGUGGAUUUUGCUAGUUCGUUACUUUGGAUUUUGUUCACGCGGUGAUCUUCUCUCUGUCCAAGACUACUACCCUGUAUGUAGUCUAUAUCUGGGGAGACAGGUGCCGUAGAGAGGUCCCCCACUUUGAUUCAUGUCCUGUUAGCAUCUCCUAUUCGAGAGUUGGGAUGACUCUAUUAGUUUGGUCGGGAGCCAGACAUUUAAGCACUAGUGUCAUUUCUCUCAAACCGAUUAAGGAAAAAUGAAGUAUAUAGGGCAGGAGGAUGCAUUGUUAGAAAAUGAAAAUGUAUGCUCCUGACAUAUUUUUAUUUCAUAAUUUCUGCCAUCCUACCAUUGUUCCCUUCUGGAAAUGAUGCUCAAUUUGUUUUUAUCAUGUAUGUACAUGCUAAAUUGCCAAAAAUGAAAUUCCAUUGAUGAGCUGUUUCCCUUCGAAACACGCUGAUAUUGUUGCACUAUUUUCAAAAGUUGAACUAGCCAGCAAAGUUGAUGUUGCUUGGCAUAACUAUCCUUUAGGGUAGUUCAUAUUCCUUGGCCAUUAAUCUCAUUGCAUGUUUUUGUUGCUUUCUGCAACUUGUAGUGCCGCAUCUUAUGGUAUUGCUCUUCUUUCUCUUUCAGUUUCCAGUAUCUUGGAGAAGGACUAAACUCGUCGUGCACCAUCAUCUGGGAUGUCGUUGCUGCAACGGUAUAAUGUAUGGAUCUGCCAUUUGCUUGGACUUGGUUGUAGCUGCUUGGAAGUUUAGUGCUUUGGGACCGUAAUGGUGUAAUGUUUCAUAUUUGAGUUCCAUGGAAAGUCGGUAAUGGAGUUGCC
rnacentral:lncRNA from 1 species